AUUGAACGCUGGCGGCAGGCCUAACACAUGCAAGUCGAACGAGUGGCGGACGGGUGAGUAAUGUCUGGGAAACUGCCCGAUGGAGGGGGAUAACUACUGGAAACGGUAGCUAAUACCGCAUACCAUCGGAUGUGCCCAGAUGGGAUUAGCUAGUAGGUGGGGUAACGGCGCACCUAGGCGACGAUCCCUAGCUGGUCUGAGAGGAUGAACAGGCACACUGGAACGGAGACACGGUCCAGACUCCUACGGGAGGCAGCAGUGGGGAAUAUUGCACAAUGGGCGCAAGCCUGAUGCAGCCAUGCCGCGUGUAGGAAGAAGGCCUUCGGGUUUUAAAGUACUUUCAGUGGGGAGGCGUUACUCGCAGAAGAAGCACCGGCUAACUCCGUGCCAGCAGCCGCGGUAAUAC
rnacentral:rRNA from 1 species